GUGGGUAUAGCUUAGUGGUAGAGUGCCUGCCUAGCAUACACGAGGUCCUGGGUUCAACCCCCAAUAUCUCCG
rnacentral:tRNA from 1 species